GACGAACGCUGGCGGCGUGCUUUACACAUGCAAGUCGUACGGUAAGGCCCUUUCGGGGGUACACGAGUGGCGAACGGGUGAGUAACACGUGAGUAACCUGCCCACCACUUGGGGAUAACGCUCGGAAACUUGUGCUAAUACUGGAUAUGUGCUCCUGCUGCAUGGUGGGGGUUGGAAAGCUCCGGCGGUUGUGGAUGGACUCGUGGCCUAUCAGCUUGUUGGUGGGGUAGUGGCCUACCAAGGCGGCGACGGGUAGCCGGCCUGAGAGGGUGACCGGCCACAUUGGGACUGAGAUACGGCCCAGACUCCUACGGGAGGCAGAAGUGGGGAAUAUUGCACAAUGGGCGCAAGCCUGAUGCAGCAACGCCGCGUGCGGGAUGACGGCCUUCGGGUUGUAAACCGCUUUCAGCAGGGACGAAGCUUUUUGUGACGGUACCUGCAGAAGAAGCACCGGCUAACUACGUG
rnacentral:rRNA from 1 species